UAGGGAAUCUUCGGCAAUGGACGAAAGUCUGACCGAGCAACGCCGCGUGAGUGAAGAAGGUUUUCGGAUCGUAAAACUCUGUUGUUAGAGAAGAACAAGGACGUUAGUAACUGAACGUCCCCUGACGGUAUCUAACCAGAAAGCCACGGCUAACUACGUGCCAGCAGCCGCGGUAAUACGUAGGUGGCAAGCGUUGUCCGGAUUUAUUGGGCGUAAAGCGAGCGCAGGCGGUUUCUUAAGUCUGAUGUGAAAGCCCCCGGCUCAACCGGGGAUGUUCAUUGGCAACUGGGUGACUUGAGUGCAGAAGACGAGCGUGGCCUUCCAUCUGUAGCGGUGACAUGCGUAGAUAUCUGGAGGAACACCAGUCGCGACGGCGGCUCUCUAGUCUGUCCCUGCCGCUUAGGCUCGAAAGCGUGGCGAGCAAACAGG
rnacentral:rRNA from 1 species